CCAAUAGCGUAUAUUAAAGUUGUUGCAGUUAAAAAGCUCGUAGUUGAAUUUCGGAAUCUGUCCAUCGGUCGGGCUUCACUGUCCGUACUGGUGUGGUGGGUUCUUACCUUCUGAAUAACCAGCAUGCCAUUUAUUUGGUGCGUUGGGGAAGCAGGACUAUUACCUUGAAAAAAUUAGAGUGCUCAAAGCAGGCUAGUGCCUGAAUACAUUAGCAUGGAAUAAUAAAAUAGGACGGCAUGGUUCUAUUUUGUUGGUUUCUAGGAUCACCGUAAUGAUUAAUAGGGAUAGUUGGGGGCAUUAGUAUUCAAUUGUCAGAGGUGAAAUUCUUGGAUUUAUUGAAGACUAACUUCUGCGAAAGCAUUUGCCAAGGAUGUUUUCAUUAAUCAAGAACGAAAGUUAGGGGAUCGAAGACGAUCAGAUACCGUCGUAGUCUUAACCAUAAACUAUGCCGACUAGGGAUCGGACGAUGUUAAUUUUUUAAUGACUCGUUCGGCGCCUUACG
rnacentral:rRNA from 1 species